GCCGAGGUAGCUCAGGGGUAGAGCAGUGGACUGAAAAUCCUCGUGUCGGCGGUUCAAAUCCGCCCCUCGGCACCA
rnacentral:tRNA from 1 species